UUUUCAGUCACUAUGUCCUUUCAAAAUAGAAAGGUUUUUUUUUUUGUUUUUUUUUUGUUUUUGUUUUCUGAACAUUUGCUUUAACGGAAUUCUCCCUUGGAAUCCUCUGUAUUAUAUCUGGAUCUUAUGGUGAUACGAAGCAGAACAGAAGGGUUCUCCUCUCUUCUAAUUGAUCUUUUUCCCCCCUAGAAAGUUGCCUUGGGAUCCUUCUGGACAAUUGUGCACUGGGUGACUGGGGCUGCUCCCCAUCAAGAGCAAACGGGCCUCAGAACUGAUUUCUGUAAUAAGAUUUGUCAUUGUUGCUCAGCUUUCCCUGCAAUGCACCACAGAGGUCUGCUGCAGUCAGAGCCGCUCUUCAUACUGCAGCAGCUUAAUAAUUUAUAAGAUAUCUCAGUGUUGCAACUUAGAACACAUAUUUAGGAUGGCUCAGCUUGCUGUUUAUCAAAUACUUGGAUAUAAGGGACAUUUUGUAACUAAUCGCUUUCAGGACCACCAUUAGGCUCCAGAGACAAACUCUGAACACAGUAUACUUCACAUGAACUGACAGCUCUGGUUUUAUUUUUAGCUUUCAACCUAACCUUUGGGUAAUAAUUAACUACUUACACUACAGGUAAAUGCAAGAGCAUGGUUCAAAACUCACAAAUAUUUGCAAGUUGCCAAUGGCAACAGCGUAAUGACCCUGUGUGUUGGACGUUACUGGAGGAAGAGGUGGGUGUUAAAUCCAAUUUGUACAAGGGAGGUGCUGAAAGGCAUUGGUGUCAUGUGAUCUGCCAGGAACCACUGCAUGGAGGAUUUGGAUCUUCAGCCAAGUCUCCUAACUCCAAACCUACUGUUUUGUCACUAAUGCUACUCUUUGUUAAGUGUCAGGGUAUUAGGCUUCUCAACUCCCCAGCCGAGUUCCUGAAUGUUAGGGGGAAAAAUAUAAUUUUACUCAGCUAAUGCCAGAGUAGAGAAUAUAUUUUGCAAUAAUACCUUCGUGCAUAAGGGUUAGUGAUUUCACCAUUGUUUCGAUGAGGAAACUCAAGUAAAGACAAGCUGUGUAACUGGAAAACUAUGACAUGGUUAGGAAAUGAAGAUUCGACUAUAGUCAACCAGUAACUGCUCUCCAUCGUUAUGAUCUGGGUAAUCUACAUAGCAGUUGAGUAGAGCCUGGCUUUAAUGGUGACUAAGCAAGUUCACAUACUCAUUUGGGACCCCAUUCUGUGGUCCCAAAUUUAUUGACACAAUCCAGCUAGAAAUCACUGCACUCUUCCUUUAGCCUUCUUUCCAGGGUUGAAGUCAAAAUCUGGUGGUUACAGCCAUCACAAUUCCUGUUUGCCCAGGUCAAUUCUGCUUUGCAUCUGUUGUCCAUAGUCAGUGCUACCAAUACACCCUUUGCACCCGCAGUACCAUCCCAGCAUGAUGGACAGCUCAUUUGCUAAGAAAUGCUAUCGUUUCUCAACAAGUCGUGUUGCUUGAAGAGUGAAAUCCUACAUCGGAUUAUGAAGUAAUGGGUAAGAAACACUGAAGAUACCACAAGCAUGGGAUGCAGCACACGGAUAAAUCAAGCCAGAUUAAAACUGGAUGCCUCCACCCGCUGGGCUGCAUUCACAGGGCCAGAGGGUGCUAUGUACAUGCUUCUGAGGGACAAAGGGCAUCAAUGAUCUUACCUGCUAUGGAUCUGAAGUAUCACAAUACCAACCUGACAAGCAUUUUGGCUCCCAUGUGUGCUAAAAUGGUGUGACUGUUCUGUGGGUAACAAACGACUUUCAGACUGAAUUCCAAGCCUGCUUCAUUGGAAGAAACACCUGGCAUUGUAAACUUGUACAAAAUUUUAUGGCUGGGGGUGUCAUCGGACCUAGGUCAUCUUAUAACUAAUAUUACACUAACUAGGCAUGGGAGUAAAGUGUUCUUCAAAUAUUUCCCUUAAUGCCCUUACACUAGCACUGCUGCUGUUUGCAGAGGCUCAAAGCUGGUCAGAAUGCUGAGAAUAAAAGACUGUGAGGUGCUUAGCAAUAAACGGAACAACUAUAUCACUCCCUCCAAGACCCAAAGGACAACAAAGAGAAGAAGAGAAAAUAUUGUAGAGCUUGAGAGUGUGAGAGUUUCUGCAAAACAGUGUCUUCUGUCUUAUUAUUAUAUGACAAUUGUAAAGAUGAGCACACAGUAGCUAUGGCUACCUGCACUCACAAUACACAGAAAAAAAAAAAAGACCACAGUAAGGAGACUGGUUGGAAAGAAGGAGGCCUAUAGAAGUAGAAAGGGAGAUAAGAAAGGGUAAGGGGAUAUGUGUGUUCACAAAGCAUUGUAUACUUACCUAAAACAUUAAAAAAAUACAUUUAAAAACAAAACAGACUGAAGAGAUGGCUCAGCAAAUAAAAGCACUGUCUGGAUCCAUUUCAACUCCCAGCACCCACAUGGCCACUCACAACUUUCUGUGAUUCCAGGUCCAUGAGAUUCAACACACUCUUCUGAACUCCUCAAGCACCAGGCACACAUGUGAUACAUAGUCAUCAAGGUAGGCAAAACACACCUAUAAAUAAAAUACAUAAAAACAAAAAGAGACAAUAAAUGACAGUAAGACUGGGUAGGUCAUGACGGGCUUAUGCACUGCUGGUAAGAAUGUAAACUGGUCCAGCAUUGAUAGAAAGCCUUAAAAAGACUAAAAAUAGAACUACAAUGUCACCUAACUGUACCACUCAGAGAAGUGGGAUUUUUUUUCUGAGGAAUGAUAUUUACAUUAAGUCUUAAAGGAGUAAAGAAAGUUAAGGUGGAAAGGAAGAGGAAUUAUCCAGAGACAAAAAUGGGUAGAAACACUCAGAGGUAUAGAUCACAAAUACUUGAAUAUUCUAAAUGUAAUGUACUUGGGGAAUAAUUCAGAAGGCUGUCACUAGCUUAUAUUCUACUAAAGAUUCUUAGAAGUGCCCCCCCCAGAGUGUCUUAAGUUAGCUACCACAGCAUCUUAAUAUCAACUCAGGGUGUCAUUAACUCAAUAAAUAAAACUUCUCAUUUUCUUCAGUACUAUUACCCAUUAGCUAACAUUGGAUCUUUCACUUCUUAAUAAAUUGGAGAAAUAUUCUUCAGAACGUAUAAAGCACUUGCUUCUGGGGUAAAAUUUCUCCUAAUUCAUCACGGAGGAGAACACAAAGAACAGUGUGGAAUGGCUCUGGCACAUUAAACCCACGUAUUUUUACUGUCUAUUCUAGAAAAAGUCACAGCAACAACCUUUGCAGAAAUCAGCUCCUCUCCAGGCAGUCAUCAUAAACUCUCACCUAAGUUGUUAUGUUUCACGGGUCAGUGUUUGCAAGCCUUUCUUUCCUCUCCUUCCAGGUGAUCCAGUUUUAUUUGGAAAGCUUUCUAGGCUAAACACUAAGUAAAUAAAUGAAGCCAAUUGCUCAUGUUAUAAGUAUUAUUGUAAGUUGGAAUUGUGUAUUAGAUGUAGACAAUAAAUGUUUAUAAUAGCA